rnacentral:rRNA from 1 species
UACGUAGGGGGCAAGCGUUGUCCGGAUUUACUGGGCGUAAAGAGCGUGUAGGCGGCCAAGCAGGUCCGUUGUGAAAACUGGAGGCUUAACCUCCAGACGUCGACGGAAACCGCGUGGCUAGAGUCCGGAAGAGGAGAGUGGAAUUCCUGGUGUAGCGGUGAAAUGCGCAGAUAUCAGGAAGAACACCAAUGGCGAAGGCAGCUCUCUGGGACGGUACUGACGCUGAGGCGCGAAAGCUAGGGGAGCGAACAGG